ACCCAGUAUAGCUCAGUUGUUGGAGCACGAGACUCUUAAUUUCAGGGUUAUGGGUUUGAGACCCACGCUGGGCA